rnacentral:tRNA from 1 species
GGUUUUAUAGUUUAAGAAAAAUGUUAAAUUGCAAAUUUAAAGAUGGUAAUCCUAAGACUU